rnacentral:rRNA from 1 species
GAGAGUCUGGGAUUCCUGGUGUAGUGGUGAGAUGCGCAGAUAUCAGGAGGAACACCGGUGGCGAAGGCAGGACUCUGGGCUGUAACUGACACUGAGGAGCGAAAGCAUGGAGAGCGAACAGGAUUAGAUACUCUGGUAGUCCAUGCCGUAAACGUUGGGCACUAGGUGUGGAGGGCAUUCCACGUUCUCUGCGCUGUAGCUAACGCAUUAAGUGCCUCGCCUGGGGAGUACGGUCGCAAGGCUAGAACUCAAAGGAAUUGACGGAGGCCCGCACAAGCAGCGGAGCAUGCGGAUUAACUCGAUGCUACGCGAAGAACCUUACCAAGGCUUGACAUACACUGGACCGGUCUGGAGACAGUCCUUCGGCUUUGGGGCUGGUGUACAGGUAGU